AACGAAUCGCGUGCACGAAAAACCCGCCUUUGACUUUGACCGUCGUUCGCCAGUCGUCAGUUUCAUCUGGAGCGGCGGGCAGUAAGCUGAAAUCGACUGAAAGGACGCAUCGAACAGGACAAUUCGCAGGAAAACCAAACCAGAGCAGAUCCCAAAAAUACGAGAACCAAUUGUCGUGUGCUAAUUUAGCUGGGAAGCUUACUUUUUGGCGCGCUGCUGCUUUAAUCCUGCCGUCUAAGUGAAUGUGAAAUGUGCCAAGCCAAGUGACAGUUAGCAAAAGCCAAGAAAAGGAGAAAAGAUAAAGGAGAAAGGAGAGAGGAGAAAGGAGACCUAAACAGAUGGAAACAACUUGCAGAUGCUGAUGUUCGAGGCCCCAGGAGACAUUUAACAUAAUAAAAACGAACGUGUGUGGCAUUUUUGUGUUGCCUUUUGGCCAAGUUAACUCCUACUCCUGUGUAUGUUUGUGUGUGCGUUUGUUUAAUGCUAAUAUCACAUACACUCGCCCCCGCACACAAACUUACAAACAAACAAUAUUGCAAAUGUGUGCGUCAGGCAGUUGGCAAAAGUGUCGUAAAUCGUUUAGACAGCGCAACGUGGCCCAGAAAAUGGAGAAGAGGGCCAAAAACGAAACGAUAUGUAAACGACACAGCCGCCGUGGGAAAAACUCGGAAAAUGCCCAAACAAAAAGCCAAGAAAGUGGAGGAUCUGCCGAUGAACUGCAUUUGUUGCUCAUAUGUCAGCGGGGAAGAGUUUCUUACUUCAAUGACUGAAUAAAUAAUUCUGUAAGCUUCUGGACUUUGUAUGAAAAAUACCUCUAAGACGACAUUGAUGUAUGGCCUUUCAACACUGUGAUAAAUAUAAAUAUUGCCAUAAAUAAUGCAAUUUUGUAAAAGAAAU